rnacentral:rRNA from 1 species
GACGAACGCUGGCGGCGUGCCUAAUACAUGCAAGUCGAGCGCAGGAAACUGACGGAACUCUUCGGAGGGAAGGCAGUGGAAUGAGCGGCGGACGGGUGAGUAACACGUAAGGAACCUGCCUCAAGGAUUGGGAUAACUCCGAGAAAUCGGAGCUAAUACCGGAUAGUUCAUCGGACCGCAUGGUCCGCUGAUGAAAGGCGCUUCGGCGUCACCUUGAGAUGGCCUUGCGGUGCAUUAGCUAGUUGGUGGGGUAACGGCCCACCAAGGCGACGAUGCAUAGCCGACCUGAGAGGGGGAUCGGCCACACGGGGACGGAGACACGGCCCAGACUCCUACGGGAGGCAGCAGUAGGGAAUCUUCCACAAUGGACGAAAGUCUGAUGGAGCAACGCCGCGUGAGUGAUGAAGGUUUUCGGAUCGUAAAACUCUGUUGUAAGGGAAGAACACGUACGAGAGGUAAUGCUCGUACCUUGACGGUACCUUACGAGAAAGCCACGGCUAACUACGUGCCAGCCGCCGCCGUAA